GAAAUUUUUACCUUUUUUGGCGGUCAGAAAGGGUUCCGGUGCGGCGGCGGGUGGCGGCUGUAAGCCCAGCGGCUAGGUUGUCUUCUCUAGCGAGGGGUUUUGGCGGUUAGGGUUAAGGUUUGGGUGCUGAUGGGGUUAUUUAUACCCAUUAGCUUUUGAUCUGGGCCGUCCAUCGCUUUUGAUCUGUACCGUUCGAUCGUGAUUAAAUAAGGAGUGAAUCUAGGCCGUUCAUCGCAAUCAAAUAUGGGCCGUCCGUGCGCGCAGGAACGGACCUCAACCGUUCGAUCGCGUGCACGUGGAUCGCCCACGUAGAGCCCCGCGUGGCCUCCCGCAUCAGCGCCUUUGCCACUUGGCGUAUCCUGGUUGGUCGGGGUUGUUGACCGGGCGUCUGACGUAGUGUAAUUUUUUUAAAUUGCGUUUUAACCUCCGAUUUUUUAUUUUUCUUUCAAAAAAUCCCUAGAACCCAAAUUUUUACCAUUUUUUUCUAAAUUUUUUUCAAUUCAAUCCUUUAUCAAUUUACUCAAUUUUUCUAUUAAAUUAAAAUAAAACAAGAUAUAAUAAAAUAAAUAAAAUAAUUAAAAAAAUUAUAUUUAUUAAUAAAAUAUAAAAAAAGAAAUUUUAGAUAGGUGUUAUAGGGAUCCUUACUCAAUUUGAUGCCCGGAGCUAACUUGUUUGGCUGUGUCUACGGGCGAUUCCUGGAUUUUUUAAAUUUUUCUUCAGGAAUUAAAGCGUGCUAAUAGUACCUACAAAUGCUCCAAACAAACCCAAAAUCAGUCCCAGGGGCCACUUGGCCAAUUUCGAAGUUCCGGCACGGCAACUUCGCUGUGCUCCAGCGACGGUGCCGCCGCUCGCGGUGGCGGUUCGUCUCAGGUCAGCUAUUUUUGGUCGAUUCUGCAUCGAUUCUUGUGAGAAAAUACGUUAAAGGGCAUUGGUUGACCGAAAAAACACAAAAAAAUAGAAACUCACUAGCGAUGGGACUCUCCAGUGCGGCAGCUCCUCCGCCUCAUAUUGCGGUUGGGUGUUUUGCUCCAGUCAACCUGUAGAGAAGGACACAGUAAUCAUAAGGGUAGAAAAAUUACACAUAAUGGGAAUCAGGAAGGGUUUCAUCGGAAGCGUUUUGUGAAAUUCCCCGCGGCGGCAGCGCUAGGCUUCGCCUAUAUUUUUCGGCCAAUUGGACAAUUCUUUUGCUCCGAUUUGGCCGUGGAUGUAUUUAGAAUUGAAUUCUGAGUAAAAAAAAUUUUUUUAACCUUUUUUGGUAGUCGAAAAGGUCUCCGGUGCGGCGGUGGGUGGCAGCGGUCUCCUUCCUGGCAACUGGGUCUUCUUCUCCGACGAGGGGGUCUGGCGGCUAGGGUUAGGGUUUUGUGCGGAUGAGGGUUAUUUAUAUCCAUCAGCUUUUGAUCUAGGCCAUCUAUCUUAUUUGAUCUGAACCGUCCCAUCGCAAUUAAUAAAGAGUGAAUCUAGAUCGUUCAUCGCGAUNNNNNNNNNNNNNNNNNNNNNNNNNNNNNNGCUUGUUGACCGGGCGUUUGAUGUGGCGAAAUUUCUCUAAAUCGCAUUUUGACAUCUGGUUUCUGAUUUUUCUUUUAAAAAUAUCAUCAGAAUCUAAAUUUUCACCCAUUUUUCUCAAAAUUAUUUUCAAUUUAAUCUUUCAUCAAUUUUAUUUUAGUUUUUACUCUAGAUAAAUAAAGAAAAUUGAAAAAUUAUUUUAUUAUAUUUAUAAUAAAAUCCUAAAUUACAAAAAACUAAUUUAGGGUGUUACAGUAAUAAUUUUUUUUUUUUUAGAAAACGUGAUCAAAAUCAUCAGUCAACAUUUAAAACCAACGAUUAACUGUCAAAAGUUAAAGUUAUCGAUAAAAGGUAUUAUAGUUAAUUAUAAAACUAUACCAUAUGUAUCUAAAUAAUUAAAUAAACCCUAAUGAGGGGUGUGACCAUGCAACUGCCAUAUCUGUUAUAUUUAUAUAUACAGAAUAGAAACUUAACAUGUAUAUAUACGAAUAAAAAAAGUAGAGCAUGCCACACAUAUUGUGUAGCACUGUGGUUCUAUUAUGAAAAAAAUAUAACUUACACAACAAGUAGUAUAAAAGAUAUAUUUUCUUUCAAUUAAGUAUAAUGAAAAUAAUAUAAUUCAAAGAUCAUUUGCACAUUUUUUAUUUGUAUAAUAAACAAAAAAAUGUUAUCAUGCGUCUAUCUAAAAGCAUAUGAUUUUUGAUAAUGUUUAUUAAAUUUGAAGACCUUAGUUCUUUAGUAAACUAUUUUUAUGGUAUAUAUCUCACAUUUGAAUUUUUUUUGGAGUUUAAGUAAUUAAAAUGUAAAGGAAAACAGAUGAUAAAAUGUCUUUAAUUUAAUUCUAUCUUUGAUCUAUGUUUAUUUCAUUUUAUGCAAAAGGAAAGAGCCAAAAAAUAGUGAAGUAUUAGAAAAGAUAAAAUAAAAAUUAUUAAUGUAAUAUGUGUAUAUAUAGGUGUUUUAGUAAAAGUUUUAUUUCCAAGAUUUAUGAGAAAAUAUUUAAUUUUUAUAUAUAAUUACUAUAGUCACAAUUAUAAACAUGGUGCAUAAUAAUGUGUAAACCCAAAAAAUAAAGUCCAAAAAGAUAACAAAAUAAACCGAACUGAAAUUUUAAUUAAAACCAGGCCCACGGAGAGCGUAGAAGGCUCCACAAAAUCUGAGGCCUUUAUCUUCCCGCGAAACGUUUCUACAUUUUUCCCCCGACCUCUGACAUUAUCAAUGGCGUCAAUAUCGGCCAUUGGCUAUCUUCCGCAGUCCCUGACGUUAUCUGCUUCAAGAGCUUCACCUGCAGUACACCAUCGUCUAUUCUGGAAUCUUGUUUUUUCGUUUUUUCUUUUUUCCUUUCGUUUUGUUUAAUCUGAAUGAUGAAAGUGUCCGUUAAAGUUUCUCCCAUUUGUCUCGUGAUGUUUCAGAAGUGGCGCCGACCAGUAGUGGCUCAAUCUUUUCAGCGAUACUAUGGAGUUUUUUAUUCAAGUUCUUGCGGUAAGUAACUAUUCCUUACUGGUUUUUUUUUGUUUUAUGUGAAAGAAAAAAUUGUGACCUUUGAUUCCAAAUCGUGAAAUUCUUUUAAUGAUGGCAUGGUUCGCAUGGAUGCCAUUCUUUCAAUUAUGUAUAACUAUAGCAUUAUUCAGAAUCUCUCUCUCUCUCUCUCUCUCUCUCUCUCUCUCUCGCUCUCUCUAAUUUCCCUUUGCUCUAUCAUUCUGAUGUUGUCUGAUGUAAGAAAUAUUAUUUUUGGUUAUCUUUGUUUGAAAAGUCGCCUCUAUGCUUCCUAGGUGAAAGUAAUCCAAUUGCUUAUAGACAUGAUUUUGUGCGAAGAAAAGUUUUGAUAUCAACAAUUGGGGUGUUAGCUGGAGCCAUGUGGAAUCCUUCGAGCGAUAUGGAGGCCGUAGCAUCUGAAUUUGCUGACAGUAAUUUCCUAUAAUUCCUUACUCCUAGCAUUUUAUCCACUCAUCUUUUGUGUUUAUGUGGCUCUGAUGGGAACUCUUUUCCUACUAUUGGUUUCUGUAAGAGCUGCUGAAAUAGAAUAUGUUGAGUUCAACAGGGGACAAACUAGGUGCUGCUGGACUUUUGUAAAAUCUCUAUGAGAAUAAUGAAUGUUGGUUAGCUGCCUUGUUACUCUGAUUAUAUUGUAGAAUACUUGUUACCUGGAUACUCGAGUGUCUAAUGCCAAUACGUGGGUCCCUUUGUAGAGAUCCGGAACUUAAAAAGAAAUAAAUUCAUAAAUUUAAUGCGGAAGCGAUUAAUAGAGUUAGAGUUUACAUAUUUACACAAUAAUUUUGAAUGCCCAAUAGAAUUACGAGAAUAUUCUUUCUAAAAGACAAACGAAAAUUAAAAAAAUAAAACGAAAAGUGAAUAACUAAACAUUUUAAAAUAGCCUUCAUUAGCACUUGAAGGAAGUAUGGAUAGUGAAAUACUCACAAUCCUCUUAUUGAUCGGGAUAAGGAUUUUGGUUCUCUUUAUCUAAAAUAGUUAAUGAAAGGGUGAAUUAUACUAAUGUAGUAAAAAUAUCACACUAAUUAUAAAUACGAAAAACUGAAAAUUGGUAAAAAUCAUAAAACCACUAAUGUAGCACUUAAUUUAAGUAAAUUCAUUUAAUAUAAAGAAAACCAUUUAUUCCGUAUUUACCGUAAUGAAUUUUCCAAAAAUAAUAUAUGAAAAUCCAUAUGCAUAUCACUUUUCACUUUCACACAUAAGAGAACGAGAAAUAAUAACUUUUUUUUCUUACCUACUUACUGGUACCUCUGGGGGUCUAUAGGGGUUGUCUCCCCUACUCGUGAACCCAAUAUCUAAUUUUAACAAUUAGCUAGCCGUCUCCAUUCUCCAUCUGGUAAUGGGCACCAAACAUUUCAUCGCCUCGAUACCCGUCCGGUAUGAGGGUGAAUCAUAUCUCCUAAAUUUUUUCGGUAAGGGAUUUCUUAAUCCCGUCCGACUGAGAUAGCGUUCAUGGUAGGCUUCCCCAUGUACCGGACCUGUUCGCCAUUUCUCUGGGUAUCCAAUAAGUUUUUCACAUAAAGAUUCUUAUAGCAAACAACCAAUGAACUCAUAUUAAUAUCUCAUAUAAUAUUCACAGAUCAACUAAAUUACAUUAAUGCUUACGGUAUAUAAACAAAAUAACCAGAUAAAUUGAUAAGACUAUUGAACUAUAAAAUUAAGAACAUAUGCUAUACGAAAAUCAAGUAAGUAGGACAGUACAGAAAAAUAGACAGGAAUCAAGACAAUUGUGAACUAAUCGAUUUCGGCUCCAUUAGUAACUUGUAAUUAUUUUUAUGGUUUUCUAAUUUUUCACAAAAACACAAAAUUAUACAACUUUAAGGUUUAAUUUACUGUAACGGAGAAUAGGGUAAGGGAUCCUUACCCCGAUCGGUGUUUCGAGAUGUUGAGCUAUCUAAUACGCCUCCUAACGGAUCAGUUAAACUAUAUUCAUGCUUACGGUAUAUAAACAAAAUAACUAGAUAAGUUGAUAAGACUAUUGAACUAUAAAAUUAAGAACAUGUGCUAUACGAAAAUCAAGUAAGUAGGACAGUACAGAAAAAUAGAUAAGAAUCAAGAUAAUUGUGAACUAAUCGAUUUCGGCUCCAUUAGUAACCUGUAAUUAUUUUUAGGAUUUUCUAAUUUUUCACAAAAACACAAAAUUAUACAACUUUAAGCUUCAAUUUACCGUAACGGAGAAUAGGGUGAGGGAUCCUCACCCGGAUCGGUGUUUUGAGAUGUUGAGCUAUCUAAUACGCCUCCUAACGGGUACCGGGUUCUCUGCAUUUUUCCUGUGUAAUUCAAAAUAAUCGUCACAUACUUAAAAAUAUUUCAAAAAUCCAAAAUCGGUGUCCAAAACUCAUUCCGGUCAAUUUUGGAAUUCCAGCACGGCGGCAACGCUGUGCUCCAGCGUUGGCUUCGCCGCCCACGGCGGCGAUUCGCUUCGGUCUGGUCGAUUUUGGCCGGUUUUGGUUGAUUUUGACUGGUUUUGGCUGUAUCCGUGCAGAAAAACACGUUAGGGGCCUUAGUUGGCCGGAAAAUCACAAAAAAAUCGAACCUACCAGCGGGGAGACUUUCAGGUGCGGCGGCUCCGCCGGUCCUCCUUCGCGACUGAGAUUCUUUCUUCAGGUAUCUUGCAAAGAAAAGGACGGUGAACACAAUAAUCGAAAAAUCACGUGAAACAAGAAUCGAAAAGGGACUCAUCGGAGGGAUUUUGGAGUUUUAGCCGCCGUGGCUCUGCCAGACUUUACCUGCGAUUUUCGGCUCACCCGUCGUUCCUCUUGCUCCAAUUUGGCUACGAGAGUACUCAGAAUCGAAUUCUGAGUGGGUAGGAAAUUUUUACCUUUUUUGACGGUUGGCGGUGGCUCCGGUACGACAGCGGUUGGCAGUCGGCCUCCUUCUCCGGUGUUUGAUUCUUCUUUUCCGGCGGAGGUUGGCGGCUAGGAUUUAGGUUCCUGUGUGAUGCGAAGUAUUUAUAACGAUUCCGCGUUGAUCUGUACCGUCCAUCAUGAGUGAUCUUGUUCGUUCGAUCGCGCCUAAGGAGAAAACAAAUCUUGGUCGUUCAUCGUGAUUAAUCUCGACCGUCCGAUUGCGUCUAAGGGAGAAACAAAUCCAGGCCAUCCAUGCGCGCAGGAUCGAUCCUGGACCAUCCGAUCGCAAGGUACGCGGAUUGCUAGUAUGGCCUCCCGCGUGGCACCGACAUCAGCACGCCUUGUCACGCGGUAUGCUCCGGUUUGUCGAGACUGCUGACUAGGCAGUCCUAC
rnacentral:lncRNA from 1 species